rnacentral:rRNA from 1 species
ACGCGAAAGCUCCCUUCGGGGAGCAAGUAGAGUGGCGCACGGGUGAGUAACACGUAGGUAAUCUACCUUUGGAUGGGGAAUAACAACCGGAAACGGUUGCUAAUACCGCAUAAUGCAGCGGCACCUAAUGGUGACAGUUGUUAAAGCGGGGGAUCGCAAGACCUCGCGUCUGAAGAGGAGCCUGCGGCAGAUUAGCUAGUUGGUAGGGUAACGGCUUACCAAGGCGAUGAUCUGUAGCCGGCCUGAGAGGGCGGUCGGCCACACUGACACUGACAUACGGGUCAGACUCCUACGGGAGGCAGCAGUCGGGAAUUUUGGGCAAUGGGCGAAAGCCUGACCCAGCAACGCCGCGUGAAGGAUGAAAUCCUUCGGGAUGUAAACUUCGCAAGAACGGGAAGAAUAAGUAAGAGCUAACAUCUCUUACGAUGACGGUACUGUUUGUAAGCUCCGGCUAACUCCGUGCCAGCAGCCGCGGUAAUACGGGGGGAACAGGCGUUG